AGUGAACGCUGGCGGCGUGCCUAAUACAUGCAAGUCGAACGGAGUGGCGCACGGGUGCGUAAUGUAUAGCUAAUCUGCCCUACACUAGAGGACAACAGUUGGAAACGACUGCUAAUACUCCAUAGCUUAGGAGUCGGCUAUAUUGUAUCAGAUGGUUGGUGAGGUAAUGGCACACCAAGGCUAUGACGCAGAACUGGUCUGUGAGGAUGAUCAGUCACACUAGAACUGGUACAUGGUCCAGACUCCGACGAGAGGCAGCAGUAUGGAAGAUUGAUCAAUGGGGGAAGCCCUUAAGCAGCAACGCCGCUUGUAGGAUGACACUUUUCGGAACGUAAACUCCUUGUGUUAGGGAUGCGGUACCUAACGAAUAAGCACCGGCUAACUCCGUGCCAGCAGCCGCGGUAAUAC
rnacentral:rRNA from 1 species